AAGAAUGCACUGGAGACUAAAGUCUUAUAUGAAUCCACAAAAUGGGUACCAGCAGUACAAAUUUCUCUGCCCUGCUCAAACAAUGCAUGCCUCAGUCCCGACCUGAAAAGACCACCUGUAGGGGUAAAAUGUUAGUUUGGUAUCCAUGGCCCAUUCAUUGCUUUGCCACU
ensembl:misc_RNA